CCUUCUCCUUCUCCUUCUCCGUCGGCUCCCAAAAUUUUCCCGUCAACGUUUCUAAUAUAUACAGUCGCACGCACCUCCUUUCUCUUUGUUCUAUGUUUCUUUAUUUGCUCUUUUUAACUUGUAGUCGGAAUCAUCAGAUCUAAGCCGUUGAUUUUUGUCGCGAUGGACGAUGAUGAGGAGAUACAGUCACACACAUCGGCGGCCACCGGAUCUCCCUCGCCGUCUCCACCCAACGGGAGAAUUACGGUGACGGUGGCUGCUGCGCCUCCGUCUUCUCAUCCUCAACAGCAGAACACAACAAUAGCUUAGCGCUAACUCUACCGAUCCAGCAGCCGAAGACCAACGGCGGCGGAAGAGAGGAUUGCUGGAGCGAAGGAGCGACGGCGGUGCUAAUUGACGCGUGGGGUGAGAGGUAUUUGGAGCUGAGCAGAGGGAAUCUGAAGCAGAAGCACUGGAAGGAAGUUGCGGAUAUUGUGAGUAGCAGAGAGGACUAUAAGAAGGCUGCGAAGACUGAUAUUCAAUGCAAGAACCGAAUUGAUACGGUGAAGAAGAAGUAUAAAUUGGA
rnacentral:misc_RNA from 1 species